ACAUCAAGGAGAUUCAAGAUAAAAAUCUAAAGAUUGGAGAAGAUGUUAUUAUAAAAUGCGGCGUGUCCAGUGACAAAGAUAACCUUUAUUGGUUCAAACAGAGUUUUGGAAAGGUUCCUCAGUUGGUAGGGAGAACAGUGGGGAAAGAUUUCAGACCUAAUGAUAAACGCUUCAGUGUUAGUGAUGUAAAAUUCUCUGUAAUUUCACACCACUCGUUAUUUAUAGUAAUAUUUUUACUAAAUUAAAGAUAAGGAGAGGAAACGAUCUCCUCCAGCUGUAAAGGUGUUGGAGAACGGAGAGUCGCUCACACUCCAGUGUUCAGUACAAGCCAUUACUUCAAGCUGUGAAGAACCGAGCGUGUACUGGUUCAGACACGGCUCAGGAGAAUCUGAUCCAGGAAUCAUUUACACUCAUGGAAACACCAGUGAUGAGUGUAAGAAGAGCUCUGAGGCUGGUUCUCCUCCACAGAGCUGUGUCUACACUCUCCCCAAGAGGAACCUCACAACCUCUGGUAAAGAAAUGCUCUACUGUGCUGUGGCUGAGUGUGGACAAAUCCUCUUCAGGAAUGGAAAUAUACCUGCAGAGAAAAGUUGUUGUUUCCAGAAUCAGGUGAUGAUCUAUCUUUCCAUGUUUAGAGUUGGAGUUCUUGCCUUUCUGGUUAUUAUCUUUACAAUCAUUUUUUUUGUAAAAAGAAAUAGAAAAAAAUGUUAGUUUCACUUUUGCUGUAAUUUCACAUGCAUUAUUACAUAUUGUCUUUCUUGUUUUCUUGUGAUCUCGACAUAAUAAAAAUCAGUUUUUCGUAAUUGUAUAGCGAGAAAAAUCACAAUAAUAAAGUUACAGACAUCACAGCCUACUUCUUAAGUGUCAGACACUUAUGUGGAAGUUGUCAAUCACUGACAGACAGAGAGCUGUUUCAGUUUGAGUCCCUGAUCAGAGCAAACACAUUGAUCCAUGAUGCUGCAUUACUGAGCUUUUGCUAACUCUAGAACUUUUUUUUGCAAAAAUCACGAAAAAAUUAAGUCACAAUAACGAUAAAACAAGAAAGAAAAUAAUAAUAAUACAUGUCCUCUUAGAACGUUUGUAGUAAUUGCUUUGUUUUUCGACCUAAACUUUUUAAAUUUUAUUCAGUUAAUUUUAUUCAGUUAAUUAAUAUUUAUAAUAAAUAUAAAAUCCCAAAGUCCUCUUUAUUUCUGGGAUCUUAAUAUUCCAUCUUGGUCUGUGAUUUCAUUGACAUUUUGCUUGUAGUUUUGUAUUUUGGCUUUAAUAUAUUUUUAAAAGAAAAAAGUCUCAGAUGUUUCACUCUCAUGUAGAGCUGCAAUGAAUGUACUGAAUAAAUACUAACUCAACAGUACUGAAAAAUAAAUUGUUAUUCAAUA